rnacentral:lncRNA from 1 species
GCUGAGCCCAGCUCCCAGCCACAGAGGACAAAUCCAUCAAUGUCACCUGAAUGUUCAACCAAGCGAGGAGCUGUGUUCCCUGCUGGAUCGAAACCUGUGGUUAUGAGCCCAGCAUCUGUGUUCACGAAGGCUGCUGCGCAGCCGCUCUUGCCUCUGGGUUUGGUAUCGGGGUGAUGCUGGCUGGAUUGCAUAAGUGGGGGAAUGGUCCUUCUCCUUGAGUUUGUGAAGGAAUUCAUGGGGCAUGGGCAUCAUUUCAUUCCUAUCUUGGCAGGAGUCACAGCAGAGCCCUCCGGGCUGAGUUUCUUUGUGGAAACCCUUCCCCAUCCCGGACGCUUCCCAGCUGGGCCUCGGGCCACCACGGCUGUGGCUCUGGCCUCCCCAGUGUCCUCCUGAAACUCCUUCUGAGUGGUGUCUGGACGUCGACGGUGCCUCAUCUGUCCGGACAUCACGGCCCUGCGUGUCCUGUCCCAAAUCUCCCCAGCCCGCAGCCCUGCUCCCCGGCACUGGAAGGCAGUUCAGGGCUGUCUUGCUGUUUCCUGGAGGUGGCUGUGAAAGGUCUGAAAGACAUAAACACGAUGACGUGCUGGGCUCAGCAGAAGGCUGCCGCCCUCCUGUGUCCAGGACCACAGGACUCCGAAGGCCCCGUGUGUCCUCCUGGGGCCUUAGGGAACUUGGCAGGGCUGCCCACUGGCUCUGUCGGCACGAGGCCUUCAGAAUUACAAACUUUGGAAGAAUUUCUCAAGCUAUCAGAACAACCGAGGUCCCUGUGCACGGCUCUGUGGACGUGAGUUGGUCCUGCAACAGGCAACAGUGCAUUUGCUGGUGAGGGGAGCCCAGCAAGGGCAGGAGUGGCGUCAGUCUGUCCAGUUACAAAACAUAGCAAUGGGACAAGAUCCAGUAGGCCCCGUGUUUGCCAGUAGACACUCACUCUCUUCCACAACCCGAGCAGGCACCACGCAGGGGAGAGCCGAGGGGUGUGGAAUGGACCCCACCUGCACUCACCCCCAUGCCCAUGGCCAGUUCCUCUUUUUGCUUCAGGAAAACGUCGUUUUCCCCUGGAAACCAGCGUUUGAUUCACCGACUCGCACAGUAGGCAGCCUGGAGACGGCCGUCUUCUUAGCUGGGACACCAGGCACUCCAGGGCUUUUGUUUUCCCUCCUAUGGUGUCAUCAUAGACACGACCUCACACUAUCUGCUUAUCACAGUGUAAAGCUCUUCGGAAGAACAACCUUCACAUCAGCAUUUGUUAUGAGUGACAGGGGAGGGAGCAAAACCUCCUCCUCCAACCCAUGUUUUCGCAUCAUUUUUCAUCUGCGGAGAAACCCAAGCCAUCCCCACCCCCAGGAAUGUAAGGACAGAAACUGAAGUCCUCAUCAUUCUGCCUCUGGUCUUCCUGUUAAUAAAAAAUAAGUCUGUGUUAAUUAGAUUUGGAAGAUGAGUUUUCCAUCCAGGCACUUUUCCCUGAAUUAUCCUCGUCCGCACGAGCGACUCUUUCCAGGGCUGGAGCUCACGGCUGGGCUGUGGCCUGUGCCGUCCCGUGGAGGUUAGAAGGUGGGCGCAGAUGUGCUCAGCUUCCUGAGAGACGUCUCAUUAUAACGCCGCCCCAGGCAGUAAUUUGAUCUUUUUUUCUUUUAAAAGAUGAAAUUCCGCUUUUAUCCCUUUGGUUAUAGUCCAUAGCUCCUCUGCUUGUUAAACCUUAAGGAAAAGACUAAAAUCUUUUGCCACUAUUUUGUCGGUAUGUAUUUCAAAAAGAAAAAUAACAAUAUACCUAUUGCAUUAAAAAUGUUUUGAUCUGAUUAUAGCUACAAGGUAAUAGAUAUUAAAGAAUCUAGUGCUCUCCCAUAUGACAAUUAUAAAUGGUACAUUUUCCUUAUUCCAGGAAAUGUUACAAAAAUUUGGGAACACUAAAUUAAUAUAAUUUGCCCAAAGGUGCUUAUGUCUGUCUAGAGGAUGGCAUAAGUUCAUUGUAGUAUAGAUAAUGCAUAUCAUACAAAUCGUGUUCAGAAACCCCUGCUAAAACCAGUCUCCUUGUUUUAUGAUCACAUUAUAUGAAGGAGUAAAUGCUGUAUCAGAUAUUCCAGGAAUAAAACUUGCUUAUCAAAAUCACCCUACACAACACCUCAGUGUCCAAGGGAACAUAAAAGGUAAUGUCAAGGGUUCCCGCAUAUCAACAUAAAUGUGAUUUUCAGAUAAGCAAUUACAGCAUAGUCCACAGUAAUAUCCGACAUUUUUAUUGCUCGAAUAUUUUUGUAAUAAGGAAAAAUAGUUCAGUACAAAUUUAUGAUAUUUU